rnacentral:lncRNA from 1 species
GAAAUCACUUACAGUGCGUUUGGAUGCGGUAAAAUAACUCGGGAUUUUAAUAAAAGUCGGGAUUUGGAGAGUGGAAAAAGGAAAGUUCAGCGUUUGGCAAAAUCAACUCAGGAUUUGCCAAAUUACACACAGAAAAUAUUGUGGGAAUUGCACGUCUAAAAUCCCAAGUUGAAAUUCCAUGGUAAUGGGUGGAAUUGUACAAUUCCCAAAAGAGAGGGAAUUUUCAUCUUCUGCCCGCCAAAUCUCCUCCAUAACCUAUCUUCUGCCCACCAAAAUUUUCAUCUUUUGCCGGCCAAAAUUUCAAGAAUAACCUAUCUUCUUCAAAGAGAACAAGCCUGUGCGCCAUCGGUAUUCUUGAUGGUGUUCUGCUAAGUAUUCUGGUUAGUGUCAGUUUUCAAUUUCUUUCCUUGUCGUUGGCCUCUUUUUUGUUUGCUAUAUUGAUUCUUUUCAUCCGUGGAACCAAGGUUCUACUUUUAUUUUAUUUCUCCUCUCUGUCUUUCAAUCUGACAAGAAGAUUUGCUCUUCCAAUCAAGGUAAGAGUCUCAACUAUCUAGACUCAUCUUUCUCUGUUCUUCCUAGACUCAUCUUUCUCUGCUCUUCCCAUGGUUGUACUUGCUAAUUUUGAGUUCUCUAUUUUUCCUUUUUUAGUUAAUUGAAUCUUGUUUACAAGAUAAUAAUUCUCUGUUGUUCUCCUUGUGCUUGCCCCUGCUAUGGGCUUGGUUGUGCUUGAUAUGUUAUAUUCCUAUUUGUAUUGAUCGUAUUGUUGAUUAGUUGGGAUUGAAAUUGUGGUCUUAUUGCAUUUUGGAGCUUACAAUAUGUGAUUUUUUCCUUUUAUUUUUUUGUUUUUUGGUUGUUAUUGAUGCUAUUGAAUCUGGAGGACCCAUUUAUUGCUUUUCUAAAGUUAGCUCUUUGUUUUGUUUUGUUUUUUUCUUUUUGUGGGUUUACAAGUAAAUCUGUGAUUGUUUUAUUUCAGUUUGUAGGUGGUGAAAAAUAUGCUGGAUUUAUAUGUUCUGUGAGAGUUGGUUUUCUGUUUCAAUAUCACAAAGAAGGUGGGAAGAUGUUAAAAUUAGUAUAAAUGUUGUUUUCAAUCACAUUGCAUAUUGGUAUCAGAGUACUUAUUAAAUGCAGACUUUGGACUUUGUUUUGUUCCUUUAGUUUUGGUUCUUUAUUUUCAUUUGUUUUAGUUGUUUGGGUUCUGCUCUGGUGUCCUUUAUUAUUUUUGGGCUAUUGGAUGUGUGUUAGUUGUAACUGAUAAUGAUUGCAGUCAAUGUUUGACAUCUCCUGGAAGUUUGAAAGUGCUUAAUACUGGUUAUGGUGAGCCACCUUACCUGUGUGUAAGGUGGUAUUUUGAUUCUCAUUGCAUAAAGUCACAACUGUCAUGCUUGCCUAAUUAUAUUUUGGUCUCAGUAGAACAAAAACCAUGAAUGGAAUAGAAAGAUUACGCGACCAUUCUUCUCCUUAACAAAACACUAGGUAAUGGCUGGAGUUGGGAAAGAUUAUAAUCAAUUUACUUCUCAAGUGUUAGCUUUUUGAAAAAGAUCAUAAUCAAGUUGAAACUAAGUUUUCG